GGGAAGGUAGCUCAGUGGGAGAGUGCUUGCCUUGCAUGCAUGAGGCCCUGAAUUCGAUUCCUCAGCACCCCA
rnacentral:tRNA from 1 species